GUCUCCGUGGCGCAAUCGGUUAGCGCGUCUGACUGUUACUUGGUACAGGUCAAUCAGGAGGUUGACAGUUCGAUCCUGUCCGGGGACG